rnacentral:rRNA from 1 species
GACUCUCGGCAAUGGAUAUCUCGGCUCUUGCAUCGAUGAAGAACGUAGCGAAAUGCGAUACUUGGUGUGAAUUGCAGAAUCCCGUGAACCAUCGAGUCUUUGAACGCAAGUUGCGCCCGAAGCCAUUAGGUUGAGGGCAUGCCUGCCUGGGUGUCACAC